GACGAACGCUGGCGGCGUGCUUAACACAUGCAAGUCGAACGGAAAGGCCCUGCUUUUGUGGGGUGCUCGAGUGGCGAACGGGUGAGUAACACGUGAGUAACCUGCCCUUGACUUUGGGAUAACUUCAGGAAACUGGGGCUAAUACCGGAUAGGAGCUCCUGCUGCAUGGUGGGGGUUGGAAAGUUUCGGCGGGUGGGGAUGGACUCGCGGCUUAUCAGCUUGUUGGUGGGGUAGUGGCUUACCAAGGCUUUGACGGGUAGCCGGCCUGGGAGGGUGACCGGCGACAUUGGGACUGAGAUACGGCCCAGACUCGUACGGGAGGCAGCAGUGGGGAAUAUUGCACAAUGGGCGGAAGCCUGAUGCAGCAACGCCGCGUGCGGGAUGACGGCCUUCGGGUUGUAAACCGCUUUCGCCUGUGACGAAGCGUGAGUGACGGUAAUGGGUAAAGAAGCACCGGCUAACUACGUG
rnacentral:rRNA from 1 species